UGGGAGCCGCUGUGUGCGGUGGCCGCGGGCCUUGUUCAUUAUGAGCCGACGAGUUGCUCAUCACCGGCAAGAUUAAGGGCUUGGAAGUCCGGAGUCGAAGCGAAAGCGAGUCUGAAUAGGGCGUAAAGUCGGUGGUGGUAGACGCGAAACCUUGCGAUCUACCCAUGGCCAGGAUGAAGGUGAGGUAGCACUCACUGGAGGUCCGCACCAGUAAACGUUGAAAAGUUUUUGGAUGAGCUGUGGGUAGGGGUGAAAGGCUAAUCAAGCUGGGAAAUAGCUCGUACUCCCCGAAAUGCCUUUAGGGGCAGCCUCGGGAAAGGGACACGGAGGUAGAGCUACUGAUAGGCUGCGGGGGCUUCACCGCCUACCAAAUCCUGACAAACUCCGAAUACCGUGUUACUGCUUUCCGGGAGUGAGCCAUCGGGUGCUAACGUCCGGUGACAAAAGAGGAACAACUCAGACCAUCAUCUAAGGCCCCAAAGCGUAUGCUAAGUUGAACUAACGAUGUGCGGUAGCAGCGACAGCUAGGAUGUUAGCUUGGAAGCAGCUAUUCAUUUAAAGAGUGCGUAACAGCUCACUAGUCGAGCGACUGUGCGUGGAUAAUAAACGGGCAUCAAGCAUACCGCCGAAGCUAUGGACUAUAUCGAAAGAUGUAUUGGUAGGGGAGCAUUCCAACGACGAAGAAGCAGUCUCGUAAGGGGUUGUGGAGUUUUUGGAAAAGCAAAUGUAGGCAUAAGUAACGAUAAGGCAGGCGAGAAACCUGCCCACCGCAAGACCCAGGUUUCCUGAACAACGUUAAUCGGUUCAGGGUUAGUCGGGACCUAAGGAUAAGCCGAGAGGCGAUUUCGAUGGACAAAGGGUUAAUAUUCCCUUACAGACUAUCACUGCGAAGGAGAGACGAAGGAGUGACAAUCCUGCCGCCUGACGGAAUAGGUGGUUAAAGAGUGUAGAUAAAGGCGUUCGUUAAAAGCGGAUGCUUGUCGAACUUGAUAGUACGGAGAUGCUACGGCAGAUUCGAUAAUGGAUGUAAUCAGACUUCCGAGAAAAACUUCUAAGCUACAGGUGAUAGUUUCCCGUACCGUAAACCGACACAGGUGGUCGAGGAGAGUAUCCUCAGGUGCUCGAGUGAUUCAUGGUUAAGGAACUAGGCAAAAUGACUCCGUAACUUAGGGAAAAGGAGUCCUCAUAGAGAUAUGAGGGACAGCAAAGAGGUCCAGGCGACUGUUUAACAAAAACAUAGGGCUAUGCUAAUUCGUAAGACGAAGUAUAUGGCCUGACACCUGCCCGGUGCUGGAAGGUUAAGAGGGGAUGUCAGUCGCAAGAUGCAGCAUUGAAUCGAAGCCCCAGUAAACGGCGGCCGUAACUAUAACGGUCCUAAGGUAGCGAAAUUCCUUGUCGGGUAA
rnacentral:rRNA from 1 species